rnacentral:rRNA from 1 species
CCCUUAGAUGUCCUGGGCCGCACGCGUGCUACACUGACACUUGCAACGAGUACUUUGCUUUACCGAAGGGUAAUGCUAAUCAUCAAUAAGUGUCGUGAUGGGGAUAGAUCUUUGGAAUUAUGGAUCUUGAACGAGGAAUGCCUAGUAAGCGUAGGUCAUUAGCCUACGCUGAUUAAGUCCCUGCCCUUUGUACACACCGCCCGUCGCUCCUACCGAUUUCGAGUGGUCCGGUGAAACUUUUGGACCGUGCGACUUUAUUGUUGUCACGGAAAGUCAGUUAAACCAUACUACUUAGAGGAAGGAGAAGUCGUAACA